AAGCUCAUUGAUGAACUCUCCGAGGGAACCUGGAGGGCGAUAAAUGAUAAGGAUGUUAAGCUUGAAAGGGCUGGUAACUGUGACAGCAUGGAAUUCAAAGGAGGCGAUAGACAGAUGGGUAAGGGGAGAAAGAGAGAAUGACCACUUGGGAGAGAUGAGGAUCCCGGUGCCACCACCCCGCUGACCAGAAGCUCUCGGGGUGUGAGAGAACACGUGGGCGGACGAAGAGAGAGCAGUAGGAGUAGCAGUGUUAUCUGUGGUGAUCCAUGUUUCCGUCAGUGCCAAGAAGUCGAGGGACUGGAGGGAGGCAUAGGCUGAGAUGAACUCUGCCUUGUUGGCCGCAGAUCGGCAGUUCCAGAGGCUACCGGAGACCUGGAACUCCACGUGGGUCGUGCGCGCUGGGACCACCAGAUUAGAGUGGCCGCGGCCACGCGGUGUGGAGCGUUUGUAUGGUCUGUGCAGAGAGGAGAGAACAGGGAUAGACAGACACAUAGUUGACAGGCUACAGAAGAGGCUACGCUAAUGCAAAGGAGAUUGGAAUGACAAAUGGACUACACGUCUCGAAUGUUCAGAAAGGUAAGCUUACGUAGCAGGAAUCUUAUUGACUAAAAUAAUUCAAAUGAUACAGUACUGCUGAAGUAGGCUAGCUGGCAGUGGCUGCGUUGUUGUUGUUCUAUCUCUCUAUAGUGCUGUUUCUUGUAUUAUAGUCUCUUGUUUCUUUAGAGGUUUCACUUUGUUGUCCUUUUUCUUUUCCUUUUUCUUCUGUCCUUAUUUUGUCUUCCUUUCUUCUGUUAACUAGAUAUUUUUUGUUGUUAUUCUUUGUAAGCUAGCUAGCUUCUUCCAGGAGAGUCCCUAGCAACUGCUUAGCAACAAGUAAACAAUUCAGCUAGCAAUUCAGCUAGCUAAGAUAACUGUACAAUUUUAUGAAAAAUAGUUACUUCUUCAAAAGCCUGUCUUUUUGGUUUGUUCCUUGUUUUGUCUUCUAUUGAGUCUUGCAUUUUUCUCUUGAUUUUUUCGAUGUACUUCACUCUAAAAAAACAUUUAAAUCUCAAUAUAUACAGGAGCUCAUUUUUCAGCAGCUGCUCAAUUUGGAACUCCGGAACACACCAUGGCCUGGCCGUGCAGUCAUGAGUGAACAGGGAGCAUAGGAGGGGCUGAGCACGCACUUCUGAGGGGCCCCCAUGUUGAGGGUCAGCGUGGCUGAUGUGCUGUUACCAACUUUUACCACCUGGGGACAGCCUGUCAAGAAGUCCAGGAUCCAGUUGCAGAGAGAGGUGUUUAGUCCUAAGGGUCCUUAGCUUAUUUGAUGAGCUUUGAGGGCACUAUGGCAUUGCUGAGCUCAACGAAUAGCAUUUUUACAUUGGUGUUCCUUUUGUCCAGGUGGGAAAGGGUGUUGUGGAGAGCAAUAGUGACUGCAUCAUCUGUGGAUCUGUUGGGGCGGUAUGCAAAUUGGAGUUGGUCUAGGGUUUCUGGGAUAAUGGUGUUGAUGUGAGCCAUAACCAGCCUUUCAAAGCACUUCAUGGCUGCAGAUGUCAGUGCUAUGGUUGGUAGUCAUUUAGGUAGGUUACCUUAGUGUUCUUGGGCACAGGCACUAUGGUGGUCUGCUUAAAAAAUGUUGUUAUUACAGACUCGGACAGGGAGAGGUUGAAAAUGUCAGUGAAGACACUUGCUAGUUGGUCAGCGCAUGCUCGCAGUACACGUCCUGGUAAUUUGUCUGGCCCUGUGGCCUUAUGAAUGUUGACCUGUCUAAAGGUCUUACUCACAUCGGCUGCGGAGAGCGUGAUCACACAGUCUUCCGGUACAGCUGGUGCUCUUAUGCAUGUUUCAGUGUUAUUUGCCUCGAAGCGAGCAUAGAAGUAGUUUAGCUCGUCCGGUGGGCUCGUGUCACUGGGCAGCUCUCUGCUGUGCUUCCCUUUGUAGUCUGUAAUGGUUUGCAGGCCCUGCCACAUCUAACGAGGAUCAGAGCCGGUGUAGGAUGACUCGAUCUUAGUCCUGUAUUGACUCUUUGCCUGUUUCAUGGUUCGGCGGAGGGCAUAGUGGGAUUUCUUAUAAGCUUCCGAGUUAGAUUCCCGCUCCUUGAAAGCGGCAGCUCUAGCCUUUGGCUCAGUGCAGAUGCUGCCUGUAAUCCAUGGCUUCUGGUUGAGUAUGUACGUACGGUCACUGUGGGGAUGACGUCAUCGAUGCACUUAUUGAUGAAGCCAAUGACAGAUGUGGUGUACUCCUCAAUGCCAUUGAAGGAAUCCCGGAACAUAUUCUAGUCUGUGCUAGAAACAAAGCCUUGUAGCUUAGCAUCUGCUUCAUCUGACCAGACUUGAAUUUUUGCUUGUAAGCAGGGAUCAGGAGGAUGGAAUUAUGGUCAGAUUUGCCAAAUGGAGGGCGAGGGAGAGCUUUGUAUACAUCGCUGUGUGUGGAGUAUAGGUGGUCCAGAGUUAUUUUCCCUCUGGUUGCAUAUUUAACUUGCUGAUAGAAAUCUCCCUGCAUUAAAGUCCCCGGCUACUAGGAGCGCCGCCUCUGGGUGAGCAUUUUCUUGUUUGCUUAUCGCGGAACACAGCUCAUUCAAUGCUAUCUUAGUGCCAGCCUCUGACUCUGGUGGUAUCUCUCGGUACAUUGUAUGGUCUGCAGGUUAUCAUGAGAAACUCUACCUCAGGCUAGCAAAAGCUCGAGACUUCCUUAGAUAUCGUGCACCAGCUGUUGUUUACAAAAAUAUAUAGACCGUUUCCCCUUGUCUUACCAGACGCUGCUGUUCUAUCCUGCCGGUACAUCGUAUAACCAGCCAGCUGUAUGUUGAUAUUGUCAUCGUUCAGCCACGACUCUGUGAAGCAUAAGAUGUUACAGUUUUUAAUGACCCGCUGGUUGUUUAAUCUUCCCAGUAACUCGUCCAUUUUAUUGUCCAAAGACUGCAUGUUUGCUAGCAGAAUUGAGGGAAGUGAGGAUUUAUUAGAUCACCUCCUACUUCUCAGAAGGCAUCCUGCUCUCCGGCUUCUCUUUCUCGGCAUCCUCUUCUCGCAGAUCCCUGGGGUCGGGGCCUGUUCCCGAGGCAGCCGUAUAUCCUCUGCCUCGUCAGAAUCUUGAAAGAAAAAGGAUUCUGCUAGUCCGUGGUGAGUAACCACAGUCCUGAUGUCUAGAAGUUAUUUUCGGUCAUAAGAGAUGGUAGCAGCAACAUUAUGUACAAAAAGAGUUACAAAAAUAUUUAUAAACAACGCAGAUAAACAAACCAAAAACACAAAUCGGUUUUGCUCGACCCGCUCCGUUUUUCACCACAAAACACCUAAGAGAUUAGAACCAGCCACCUGCUUUUACACUAGUAUUUGAUUAUUAUACAAUAUAUAUAUUUAAAAAAACAUUAAAAAAGGAAUAGUUUCACCAUAUUAAAACGAGAGUUCCCGUAACGGUGUUUACAUUAAAAUGUGGGACAAACGUAAAUUAAUCACUAAUGAUGUGAAAUAAAUAAUCUUAAAAUAUUACUUUGGGCUCGAUUGAAUGUAUCGCUGAAGCGUUAGAUUGUGUCACGAAUCCCGUUUCCUGAGUCUGUUUUUUGCCUGUGUUCUGUCCUGGAGUGUUUUUUCCGGCGUCCUGGAACGCACCCUGUCUGGUUGCUGGGCAAUGUAGCCAGUUGGGAGUUCUGAUUACCCGCACCUGUAUCCCAUCAGCUAUCUGCCCACCUGGUCCUGAUCAUCAUCUCUCCUCUUCAUAAGCCCGGACCUGACAUCCAUUCCCUGCCGGAUCGUUAGCCAUGAACAUUACUCACCCGGAUCAUUUACCCCAUUCCCGCCUGGUCGUCGGAGGAUUCCGCUACCCCAGUGGAUCCACCUAUUUACUCCCAUCAACUCACCACCGCUGCCCGCUACGCCACCUGGAUAUAUCUACCCAUUCACAUUCACUUGUAAAUAAAUACUCACCUUCUUCCUAC